rnacentral:rRNA from 1 species
CCUACGGGGGGCUGCAGUGGGGAAUAUUGGACAAUGGGGGCAACCCUGAUCCAGCCAUGCCGCGUGUGUGAAGAAGGCCCUCGGGUUGUAAAGCACUUUCAGUGAGGAAGAACGCCUGGUGGUUAAUACCCAUCAGGAAAGACAUCACUCACAGAAGAAGCACCGGCUAACUCCGUGCCAGCAGCCGCGGUAAUACGGAGGGUGCGAGCGUUAAUCGGAAUUACUGGGCGUAAAGCGCGCGUAGGUGGCUUGAUAAGCCGGUUGUGAAAGCCCCGGGCUCAACCUGGGAACGGCAUCCGGAACUGUCAAGCUAGAGUGCAGGAGAGGAAGGUAGAAUUCCCGGUGUAACGGUGAAAUGCGUAGAGAUCGGGAGGAAUACCAGUGGCGAAGGCGGCCUUCUGGACUGACACUGACACUGAGGUGCGAAAGCGUGGGUAGCAAACAGGAUUAGAUACCCCUGUAGUC